AGGCUGCAACCCGCCUGCAUGAAGCCGGAAUCGCUAGUAAUCGCGGAUCAGAAUGCCGCGGUGAAUACGUUCCCGGGUCUUGUACACACCGCCCGUCACACCAUGGGAGUCGAUAACGCCCGAAGUCAGUGACCCAACCGAAAGGAGGGAGCUGCCGAAGGCGGGAUGGAUAACUGGGGUGAAGUCGUAACAAGGUACC
rnacentral:rRNA from 1 species